rnacentral:rRNA from 1 species
UAUUGCACAAUGGAGGAAACUCUGAUGCAGCGACGCCGCGUGAGUGAAGAAGUAUUUCGGUAUGUAAAGCUCUAUCAGCAGGGAAGAAAAUGACGGUACCUGACUAAGAAGCCCCGGCUAACUACGUGCCAGCAGCCGCGGUAAUACGUAGGGGGCAAGCGUUAUCCGGAUUUACUGGGUGUAAAGGGAGCGUAGACGGCGACGCAAGUCUGAAGUGAAAUACCCGGGCUCAACCUGGGAACUGCUUUGGAAACUGUGUUGCUAGAGUGCUGGAGAGGUAAGCGGAAUUCCUAGUGUAGCGGUGAAAUGCGUAGAUAUUAGGAAGAACACCAGUGGCGAAGGCGGCUUACUGGACAGUAACUGACGUUGAGGCUCGAAAGCGUGGGGAGCAAACAGG